GCGGGUGUAGCUCAGUUGGUUAGAGUAUCGGCCUGUCACGCCGAGGGUCGCGGGUUCGAGUCCGUCACUCGCGCCA
rnacentral:tRNA from 1 species